UACGUAGGGUGCGAGCGUUAAUCGGAAUUACUGGGCGUAAAGCGUGCGCAGGCGGUUGUGCAAGACAGAUGUGAAAUCCCCGGGCUUAACCUGGGAAUUGCAUUUGUGACUGCACGGCUAGAGUGUGUCAGAGGGAGGUAGAAUUCCACGUGUAGCAGUGAAAUGCGUAGAUAUGUGGAGGAAUACCGAUGGCGAAGGCAGCCGUCCUGGGAGUAAACACUGACGCUCGAUGCACGAAAGCGU
rnacentral:rRNA from 1 species